AUGUUACUCUGUAUGGGCAGGCAUGUGAAGCCUUCUGAUGAGUAUGGACACAAACCAUCUCUGUGGCUGAAUAAAUGAACCAUAAAAUGAAUUUUUUUUGCCUGCUGUGCUGGACCUGCCCCAUGUUCAGCUAGGCUGAAGUCCUCAGAGUGGUCUGUGUCUGCAAGCACACACCUCCCUGAGUGCUCUGAGAAAGCUGAAUGUAUUUAUAGGAAAACAGGGCAGGAACCCACAGUGCAUGCUGGCUAUGCAAAAUGAGUGCGACUGCAUGGGGCAGGGAGACAGAGCCAGUGACAGCAGCCCUGUCACAGCACACUGCUGGGCAGAGGCAAGACCCCUCUGCUCUCUGGAGAGAGGAAAAUCACUGCUCCCUGAAACCUGAUCUGCUGCCUUUCAGCAUAGGUACUUCAGUGCAGGGGCUGUGCAGCCAAAGGCAGGGCAUGGACAUUGUGAUACUCCUGUCACCCACAUGCCAGAUUCACAUACCCCAGCUGUCCAUGCAAAACUGGACUGGUUUUGUCUGGGUGAUCCUUCCAGCGUGUCAGUGAGGCAGGACUGAAUGCACUGAAUAUUCUGGGUUUGUUUUCACUUGAUUAUGAUCCAUUUUGGUAAGUGUCCAGGGGUUUGAUUUAAUACAGUGAAUCUGAAACCUGGGCAAUGCCUCUGCUCUUCACUCCAGCACAUAAUACUUCCUGGCUUUGAUCUUUUGCAGUGGGUUUUAUAUCUGCUGCAAUUUGUUGGGAAUGGCUUCUGUAAGUGUCCUUUUUAUGCAUCCAUUACCUGUGUGCAAGCUGGUCUGUCUCAGUUCAGCACUCCUGCAAAGCCAGUGCUUGCAUGCAGCAACUGCAGCAUUAUGUUGUCCCUGAUGUUUCAGCCCAUGUGAAAACACUUCAUUUCCAAGUUGCCUUUUAGCUCUGGCUCUUCAUGUGGUGAUUUGGGUUCUUUGCUUCUUUAGUUCUGGUUUUGUCACCCCACUUCCGACAGGCAGCCAUGUGCACUGGAUGGAAGUGGGAAAGCACAGCUUGCACAAUCUGUAGCUCCUGGGUGUCCAUGGCACCUUACCCCAGAGUCCAGGGGUUCAUCCCAUGCCGAAUGAGCUGUGGUGAUUUUUUCUGCUCAGCUUGCUCCUUCCCAAACCAACCAUGAGACAUGAAACCCCUGUCAUGGCAAGCCAGGAGCCAUGUGGCUUUGGCCAGCCCUCAUCCACAGGGGAUUUGGGCGCUUGUUUUGUAGAGUGAAGUGAGGACAAAAGAAAGCCCAGGGGCCCUGAGCAGCCCAGUUCUGGGCAGGAGAGCUGAAGGAAAGGGUUUGUUCUGCAGAAACCUGAACUCUCAAAGCAGCAAGGAUUACACUGGUUUUUUUCUCAGGAUGUAAUUAAAUCUUCCUCAUUUGUGCAAGCUAGAGUGGAGAGAAUUGUAUUUAUUUUAAAGAUUGGAAGUGCAGAGGAUUGUGUGGCUGUACCCUGUCCUUUUUGCUGCCAUCAUCUGGAUGCCUUUAAGUAAGCCUAGGAGCAAGGCCCAGAGACCACCAAGUACUUGGGUUUUUGGACACUACUGGAAUGUCAUUUUAAAUAGCACAAAGGGGCUCUGCAGGGAGGUGGUGAAUCUGCAACAUGGGGCAGGGCUGGAGGGCCCUCAGCUAGCUCAGGAAUUGCUGUGGCUCAUGAGACACUUGACUUCCCUGAAGGAAGAUGAAGAACUUGCCCCAAGACCAGCUCAGUGACUUUGUCCCCACAAGCAAGAGCUUUGCACCAUAUUAAGCCGUUUCUGGCCAAGUCUGGAUCUAAAUGGGGUGUCCCAGCCAGGGGGAAGGCUCCCCUGCCUCCAGGAAGCCUACUGCCCUCCCAACAUGAUGGUCAAAACCACAGUGUGCAGGCAGGGAAAGGAGAUGUCCAUCAGUGCUGGGUUCAGGAUAAGGAUAGCACCCCAGGGUGCUCUCUUGUGUCACUGCUGAACCAAAAGGGGCAGGUGCUGGGGUCCCUGACCUGAGGCUUUCACUGUUUCUAACCUUGCUCUUCUAACUCCUCUUCCUUUUCCCUACCAAGUGCUCAGGACUCAAUACUGUCUGAGAUGCAGCAGCAUGCUGUAGCUGUGUGCCACACAAUUUGUCCCAGCCUUUGCCACUGGUGGCAGCAGGAAGAGGGUUUUUUUCUGUGACAGGAGGGAGCCUGAGACCCCUGAAUGUGCUCACAGGUGGACAAAGCACAGCUCUGCCUGAACCACAACAGUUGGUAGGGCUGAGGAAAAAGAAGUCCAUGGAAACAAACUUCAUGGACAAAUAUGAAGUUCUGGGGAGUGGUGGGCAACAGCC